AAUGAGAAAAUAUUUUAUGAAUGCAAAAUUGGGACAUAGAGUCUGACCAAGGUUUCCUAUGGGAGUUUCAGACAUGGUAAUUAGAAACCAGGAAGACUGAGAAGGAAUCAAAUUUGCAGCAGCUCAGUAAGUGGUAGACUGGGAACAAGAAGCCAGUUCUCUGGGCUCUUGAAGCAAGGCCCUGCCACGUUGUCUUUCCCCAGGAGAGGAGGUCAUAAGACAUUCAUUCCAGAGAGAGUCCUGCCCCACCUCUGAGAAGGAAGGAAUGUACACUCAAGAGAGAUCAAGAAGAAUCUAAACAAACAGGCCCUUCUGCGUUUUCCCACAAGAGAAAAUGAUCUAAUUAACAUUCGAUCAUAACUUUUUGUCCAAUUAUAUUUCUACACUGCUGUUCAUACUUUAUUUAACCUAGGCAUAAAAAUUGACAAUUUUUAUUGUAUUUUUGGCUCUUCAUUCUGAAGGCUUCCAUGUAUACAUGUUAAAUAAAUUUGUACACCUUUUCUCCAA
rnacentral:lncRNA from 10 species